GCCACCCAUGAUUUGCAGAAAGAACAAUAUUUCAUAAAUUGGGGUCUGUUGUUCGUCUAAAUAGGCGAAGUAAACUGGACAAGUGUAGUAUGUGUAGUCAUGCCGACUGCUGGGCUUCAUACGAUCUUCAUGAAUAAUGUCUGGAAAAUUGGAACGUGUCGAAAGGAUUCUUACCAUGCUGCACGCAUGGAGGACUAGGAGUGCCGAAAUCCCGCAGGAUCCGCCGACAACCGUGUAAACUACGAACCCGGCCACGACUUGCAGCAAGAACAAUAUUUCGUAGUUCGGAGUCUGUUGUUCGUCCAGAAAAAUGAAGUAACUCGGACAAGGAAUAUGCAUAAGAGGCCCGGCACGAUGAUCAGCAGGAAGAGAAAGUAUGCGAUAACGUUCUUAAUUUUCUGGAUGAUCUUUUUGGAGA